rnacentral:rRNA from 1 species
GACAGAGGAGCCAAGCGUUGUCCGGACUGACUGGGCGUAAAGCGCACGCAGGCGGCGCUGCGCGUGGGGUGUGAAAGCUCUUGGCUUAACUGAGAGAGGCCAUCCCAUACGGCAGCGCUCGAGCCAUGUAGAGGUCCGCGGAAUUGCCGGUGUAGUGGUGAAAUGCGUAGAGAUCGGCAGGAACACCCAGGGGGAAACCAGCGGACUGGGCAUGAGCUGACGCUCAGGUGCGACAGCGUGGGGAGCGAACCGGAUUAGAAACCCU